GUGUGUGUGUGUGUGUGUGUGUGCGCGCGCGGGGGGCUCUUUCAGGCGGACUCUACCUGCGAAGCCGAGAGGAAUUCUACCGGUGCACCAUGUCCUCCCCUUCCAGACGAAGUGAGCAGCGUCCUUCCGUCUGCUGCCAGCCUCCUAGAGCUGAGGGCGAGAAUUCUGAAGGCCAGAAAUGGAGUCUGAGCAAUGCCCAUGACCCAGAGGAAGUUAGAUGACGGCCUAGAGCAAGAUGGUUCCAAGACCUGGGUCCAGCAUGGACAGGCGCUGUGGCAAGUGGGCUUCCAGAUGUCAUUCCCAGUGAGGAGCAUGCCAGCAGAAGGCCUUUCAAUGACCAAGGUAUCCUGUGAGUUCCUGGUGUGAACACAGGCAGCUGUUUGCACCGCCUCCACAUCAAAGGAAGCUAGCAAUCCGGCCCCAGACAGUGAGACAGACCCAGAAAGACAUGUGCCCCAGCAACCCCACUGCCAAUGACCCUGGCAAAUGCCAACCUGCAGGACCUGCCACCGAGUCCCUCCAUCACAUAGGCCAGCUAAGCUUCUCCCCAAACUGCCCUGCGGGGUCUUUCCUCCAGCCUCAAUCUGUGAUCUCCCCAAAUCUGUCUGAGGGCCAGAGCUUCCCCGUGUUUGGAAAUGUUUAAAUUAGGUGCAAUAAUCGAUUCUGCCUCUAAGAUACCACCAAAGGGGAAAGAAGUAGGCAAGGUGGGGCAGACCUCUCAAACAAGACAGAAGAGACUGUCAUGCCUACUACAUGUUUAAAACAAUUUUUAUUUAUUUAACAGUACUGGGGAUGGAACCCAGGGCCUCACACAUGCUAGGCAAGCACUCUGCAACUGAGCUACACCCUCAACCCUGCCUGUCAUGUGUAAAGGAGGUAGUUUCCUUAGCAGAAGUAAGAAAAUUUUAAAAUAGUAUGGAUUUUUUUUUGAAGAGGGAGAAUAUUAUGGAUUCUUGGGAGAAAAGCAGUAGUGAAAAUACCAUCUAUUUUCUUUAUCUCUUGAGAGUUUGUGAGAUAUUUCUUUUCUGUUUUUUUUUUUUUUCUUCUCACAAAAUAUUUACCCAGUUGAGAAAUAUAUGAUGUAAAAAUGAAAGGAAAACCCCUUCCCAGCAUGUCUGCUUCCAGCUCCAUCUUAAUUUGUCCUGCUCUCCAAGGGGCGAGUCUGCACCCUGACAUUGUUCCUUGGUGUCCCCAGGGCCCUUGCACGUGCCCUUUCCUUAGGAGCUCCAGUUGUCCUUUAUCUCUCCCCACUCUCCUUCCCUCACCCCCAAACCACCCUAGCUAAUUCUGCAUCCUUCAAGUGGCCCCCCAAACGUGUCCCUGGAUGUCCCUCAAAAUCUUGCCUCCUGUCUUCCCUCCUCCAUCUGCCUGUCAUUCCCACCUUGGAAGCCCCAGGAGGAAGAUGGACUAUGCCUGCCUUGUGCCCCAUGUUUCCUGUGGCUCCUAGAAAGUUCUUGAAAAGGUUGGCUGAGUGAAUAAGUGAAUGGACAACUCCCUAUAGGGUUAUCUCUGUUACUUAUUCAUUGCACUUCAUCCCGGGCAACUUUCUGCACAUACCAGGGAGCCUUCAGUAACACUGAAUAAGACCAUCCUCUGUACUUGUGACAUUACUGCCUGGGGUAAUAUUAGUAACUGCACUUUGCUGGUGGUCAGGCCCUGGGCCCAGUGCUCCAUGCACUGAUCCUGAUUAACUCUGUCUUUCACUUUAAUGGGGCAAAGUGGAAGCUUUGAGAAAUAGCAUAAAAAAAUUACUAGGUUUCACCAUAGAAAUGCAAGUGACAAAGUACAGACAGGAUCAUUUUCUCUGAUCCAGUAUUAACUCAAAGUCAAGGUAAUGUAGUUUUGUGUGCGCACGUGUGUGUGUGUGUGUG